UGCGGAUUGGUGUAAUAGCAACAUACUUGGCUCAUGACCAGGCGAUAGGGGUGCAAAUCCUCUGUCCGCAU
rnacentral:tRNA from 16 species